CCUCAUCACAGAUUAAGGACUUUGGCCUCUGUGUUAGAAAAUGUUGGCCUUGGAUUAUGAGCUGAAGUGUGUUGCAAUUCCUUUUCUAGCAUAGGAAGAUUCUGUGGUAGCUGCUGACUGCAAGUGAAGGCACUUAUCUAUGCCUGUUAUUCUGUAACUUGCUGUCCUUAUGAAGAAUUCAUUUUACAAGGGAUUAGUAGAAAUCAGCUAUUUUUGCUUGGCAAAACAAGGGCUGACAGCGGAUGUGAUUGCUGACUGCAAAUAUACCAAGAAGAGGUAAACCUCAGAGAGCUGAGAAGAGCUAUUUAAGCUAAAAAUAACCUUGACACAUGAACAAACAUACACUAACCAGCCCUGAAUAAAAUUAGGAAAAGAAGUAGGUUACCAAUAAUCCAAACAAUGAAGGUGCUGGAAGAACUUUCUGAUAGAAGAAAUGCAAGCAGAAUGCCAAAGUGCUUUUUGGAUGGAGUUUAACCAGCACCUGAAAGGGAAUAGGUAAGAGGAUUGCAUGUUGCUGUGUCUAGACUGUGGGGCCUGGGCUUACUCCCAUGUCAGGACGAAACUCAGUUGGUUUUGUACCGAACAACGUCCUUAUUCCUUUGAGGAGCAACUCCCCAUCAGACAAAGACAAAGUCCUGUGGAGACAGUCACCACAUUGCUUGGGUAUCGUGCUCAGCAACUUGCCUCAGGAAGCAAGAAGCAAAGACCCUGGUAUCACCAUCACCAAGAGGAGACUCUUUUCACUGUCCUUAGUAAAGGAGAUUAGUCUGAAUCACUCUCAGCACUUCACAGAAAAAAAUUUAUUUUCAAUCAUCUGAAUGAAGUACAGAUUUGGAGAAUAAAGGUGGAAAAGUUUAUCUUGCAGUCAGCCAAGCAAACAGAAGAGAACUCAAAGUUAAAGAAGACAGAGGGAGUUGGGCAGUGCCCAUUUUUCUAUUUGAUGUUUCCUGAACUAUUGCAUUUUCAGUUGUAUGUCUGGAAGACCAUUUUGAACCAAUGCUGUGUCACUACAUCACAGUUAAUGGAGACUCAUUCCACCAUACCAUUACUGAUACGAUCAUUUCUGUAUGUAAAAAACAGUUACAGAAUUUCAAUGAUCCUUAGCAAUAUGUUCUGAAGGACUCAGGGUAAUAAAUGUGGAAUCUCUAUCCCUGAAACUUUGAAUUUCAUCAAGUUACACAUUUUAAUCUCUGUCUGUAAAUCUACAGCUGAAAUGGCUGGACCCUGCAGGUUGAAUCUUUGCAGUCCUUCUUUUCCAGUUCUAUGUUCAUCUACAAGUGAUACCGCAAAAAAUAGUCAUUCUUACUUAUUUGGAAGCAGAUAUCUGAAGAAAGCCAGACUGCCUCAUGAGGUCAGAUGACAUCAAUAUUUUUGGCACUUGAAUAUCUUGAAUCAUAAAGAAGCAAGACACUCAUGCAGGUGAAUAUAUACACAAGCAUUCACACACACAUAUACAUACACACAUGGUAAGGAAUGGCUAGUACUUGUGGAAUAUUCUAAAAAUCUUCCACAUUUUUCUUUAAACAUCACCCUUAACUGUGGAUACCCAGGAGAAGGUUCAUCAUGUGUGUCCCUGACAUCUCAUUUUUCAGCAUGGAGUCCCGACAGUAGUCAAACAGGCCUGAAGUGUCUGGAGCAUAAGGGAAGCGUGAGACUGACCAGGAAAAUGUUCUGACCUUCUAUAGCAGGUAAUGCCUGCCACCAGUGUGCUGUUAGAAAUGUAAGCAGCCUGAUGCAUAGCUUCCUGGAAGUCGCUUGCUCUUUAUUUCCUUCAUUGCCAAGUCAAGAAAGGAAGAAAAUCUAAAGGAGACCUCAUGAGCACACUGAGCAAAUUUCCUUUCGACUCAUGGAAACAGAGUCACAGAACAUACACAGUCAUCUUGUAAAUAAUUGCUUUAUCUAUUGUGAGGAACGUCUCAUUUGGAAACUCAAAUGAUUGGAUCUUGUAAGAGCAGUCGAGGCUUGACUCCUGACAAAAGCACAAGAGGAACAUUUUGGGGUAAAAAGUAAAAUCUGGCAAUUCACUUCAUAUCCCAUCAGCAAGGAUGGCAGACAGUGUUCAGUUCCAUCUGUUUGCAAAGAUCCUGUAGAUGUGGCCUUGUUCUGCACCAAGGGAGCAGCUGUUCAUAGUUCUGACAAGAUCUGAGCACUAGAGAGUUAACUGACAGUUCACCUCUGAAUUUGACCCUGUGGAUUAACAUAGUGAGAUUCUUGAAACUCUUCUACUAUCUCUUUGAUGAAAAUGUUUUAAAACAAGAUAUCAGAACACAAGUAUGGUAAAAACAAAGUGGUUUGCAGAGAGUUUUGUCUAGCCUUGCAAGAGAAGAAACUCCAAGCAAAUAUUUACAGUCUGCUCAUUAGGAAUUUAGACACAAACCCCAACAUACUAAUAUCAGUACUCGAGAAUGAGUCACUCUUCCCUUUCCCAUUAUGCAAGAGGAUGCAAGAGAAGAGUUUUCAUCUCCAAUAUUUGCUCCAUGGAAGAUAUAUUCAACCAUGGCAUGUAACUUCAUCAGAGAUGCAUAGGUCCCAGCAAGGAGAGCCAAGCUCACUAGCUUCCAAGGCAGCUGUCAAGGAAACAGCCUAUUUCUUUCAAGAUAGGUGGCUGGUUGUGGUAGGCACAUCCACAAACCUCGGUGAGAUGCCUCAGCUCCUUUUCUAUGGCAUUACUUUUUGAAGCUGAUGAAACAGCGAGGGCAGUUUGACAACAGCAGAGAUCAGUUGGAGGCCUUCUACACGAACACUGGCUUAGCCCAGUGCACCAUUUUUCAUGUUGCCUGAGCAUGCACCAAAUACCUGGAGCUGCCUGUUCUCCAGACUGCUAGAUAUGUGCAAAGAAACCAAGCAGGCAAAUUAGAAGCAACCAGCUCUGACUGUCUCUGUCCUAGAAAUGAGUACCGUACACCACAGCCUGUAUUUUACUCCUGUGCACACAUUCAUCUCUUCACAUUGUCCACUGCAGAUUUUGCAUGUAUUCACCAGGUGCACAUUGGGUAAAGGCCUUUGGUAACUGUAGCUCUACAAUAAAGAGAGGUCUGAAAUGUGGCUAUGGAAAGAGUUG